CAUGGGACACUGUGCUAGACGACUCUUAUUAUCAACAACUUCUUCAAGCACUUCAAGAAUAUAAAGAUGAUAUUCCAAAUCCCACUGAAUGGUCCCAAGAGUAUCCUAUGUGCUGCAGUCAAGUUGAGAUUUAAAGGAUAAGACUCCAUAACAGUUCAAUUCAAGAUGAUAAGUAUAAGGAUAUGUGUAAAGAUAUUGACAGCAACAGUGAAAGCUCUAUAGACAGUGCGCAGUUUCCUCAUUCCAAUGCUAACAGUUAAAGCAUCUUGCCACUAGAAAAACAGAAAGAAUCUUUUGCUUUAUUGCUUUUCUUUUAUAAGUCACGAGUAUGUACUGUAUUAAUGCAUUAUUAGUUUGUAUUGUAACUGUGUUUGUCUGUUCUUAUCUAGUGUAACUAUGUUUGUCUUUUCUUAUCUUCUUUGCCUAUAAAAGGCGAUGUAUUUCAUCUUGUAAAGGCAUCGAGUUUCCAUCUAAUAAAAUUUCCAGUGUGUUUUCUUAUACUAUGGCUUUCUAACCUCUUUUCUUUCUUCUCUGGGUUUAAGCAAGGAUAAGAAGAAUUAUGAAUUUUAUGAAUGAUUCUUAAGUCUUGAAAGUAUGUUCUGUGCUUGCCAUUUAUUGGAUCCUACGCAACAGAACUUAGACUUGGAUCUAAGAUACUAGCUUGUUUUGAUUCAAGAAGAUGUUUUGAGUUAAGGUUUUAUAUCUAAAAGGUAGUGUUUGUUGAAUGGUAGUGAAAAAGGCCCAUGUUUUGGCAUAGCUUACCUGCUAUCUAACCUUGAUUCUUAAUUCUCUUCUUGGGUCAACCCAAAUUGCUCAGAAAUCAUUUAUUGUCGAAAGCAAAAUCACAUGUUUUAAGGCUUCAAACCAUGAUCUGUUUAUAAAUAUGAGUAAAUAUAAAAGGAAUUUGAUUAAAUUAAAUAUCUCAAAUUAUGUUUUGACUUGGGUGAAAAAAAUAAAAUUAUGUAAUAAAUAUAAUUAUAAAAUUUUAAUAUGAAAAAAAUGAAUUUUUAGUUUAAAAAAAUAGCAUUAUCUAACAAAUAUAUGUAUAGAAAUUUGAUAUAAAAAAUAAAUGAGAUUUGAGUUGAAAUGAUAAGUAAUAUUUGAUAUAAAAAACAAAUGAAAUUUUAGGUGAAAUGACAAAAGGGAAUAUGUUUAAAACCUUAGUGUGUUGAGUUUAAAUUGUAUAUUUCUUUUUCCUUAUUUUUUUAUAUAAAACAUGUAAAAAAAGUAAAAACAAAAUUAUCUUUAAAAUAAUAUAAUUUAUUUAUAAAAUAAGGUAAACCACACAAUUGGUCACCCAACUUUCUUAAGUGUUCAUUUGGGAACUUGGACAAAAAAUUUGUUAUAUAGGUGUUGUCAUUACAUACUUUUAUCAUUUUAGUAAUCCACCAUUGGUUUAGUAUUACAUACUCAUUUUAAUCACCAUAUUUUACUACGUUUUCAUUUUGACAAUUUAUUUUAUCUUUUUAAUUUUCUUUAUUAUUUUUUUAAGAAUUAAUUUUAGGUUUUUUAGUAUGGGAAAAAUAUAUUUUUACUGGGAAUUAAUUAUUCCGGUUAUUAUAGAAAAAAAAACUUGCGCUUUUAUAGGAAAACCAUUUUUUUCAUAUUCUUUUUUUUUCUUUUUUACAAUUAAUUCUAGUUUUUCCGUAAAAAGGAAAAUUUUAAAGUUUUACAGGAAUUGAAUUUUUAUGGGAAAAAGAAUUUUAUUUUGUUAAAUUCCUUUAAUUUUUAUAAUUAAUUCUAGUUUUUUUAGUAAAAGAGAACCACUCGAGGUUUAAUAAGGAAUUAAUUGUGUUUAAAUAUGAGUUUGAACAUAAAAUUAAGUUACAAGUGAGAAAUUUAGGUUUCAUUUCAAUUGUUGAAUAACUAAAUUCCAUAAAAAAAUGAGGUUUAUUUUUUAAAAAUUAAUUCUAAAAAAAUUAAUCACUAAAAUAAAAACUUAUUAAAGUUGUGCGACUAAAAUAAGUGUAACGAUAAAUUAAUGGCAGAUGACUAAAAUGAUAAAAUUUUGCAACGAUGGUGAGUAAAAUGAUAAAAGUAUAUAAUAGUAUACGCAUAUUGCAAAACCUUUUCUUUUACAAUGUUCAACAUGAAAACUUAUGAAAAUUGGAUGAUCUAAUGAAUUAAUAAUAUUUUAAUGGCUUAAAUAUAAAUUUGGUACCUGAACUUGUCCAUUUCUCCUAGGUUGAUACUUAAGUUUUUUUGUUCCAGAUUGGUACCCGAACCUUUUUUCCAUAAACUAAAUCGGUACUUUUUUGUAACACCGUUAAUGUAACACCCCUCGUCCGUCCUGAUCGUCGAGACUGAGUUUAAGAAUGCUACAGUACAAAAUGGAACAAUUAUAGACAUUUACCUGAUAACUCGAAUAAAAAAUCAUUAAAUUCAAUCAUUCAAGUCAUCCGAUACAAUUUAAAACAUUUCCCAACCUUUGUACGAGCUUACGUAAGCUUUAAAGUUGACUCGGGAUCGAACAAUGACCAAUUUGCAAACUUUCAAAAGUUCAAGGUUGGUAUUGUGAUGUUGCCAAAAUAGUAUGUCACGUCAUGACAUUGGACCACUUGAUGUCGUGACAUCACAAUCUAUCAGUCGGCGUUUCGACGAGGAGAAGUUGUUGGGACGAGAAACCUGUUUUAGCGCAAAAUAAGCCUUUUAGUACCUGAUGCACAACAACCCUUCAACUAAGUCUUUUGGUACAAUUUGCAUAUGUUUUACCUGCAUAAAAACAUGCCAAACAAGUAACUAUUCAACCAACUAACCAAUAUGUCACAAUUGACACCAUUUCAUAUCAAAACUACUUAUACAUUUUCAAGUCUAUCAUCCAUACAAGUAGCCAUAAUAUUCCGUCAUUUCAUUUAUCCAAUUCAUAUUCAAAUAUGUAAUGAUAGAUCCUAAUCACAUAUAGUACAUUAUACUACUAGCUUAAGGACAUAUACAAUUUGACAUUUACAACCCAAGAUUAAUAUAAACUAACAUUCCAAACUAAUUAGGCAUUAUAAGUUAACAUGACAACUCCUAAGUACAUGCCACAUAUAUCUGAGUAUAACAUAAUCAAAAGACUACUGAACCAAUAGAUAAAUAGUGUAACUCCGAGGUGAUCAGAUCGAUGCACUCCAUAUUCAACAAACUACAAAAGGAAGAAGACAAUGGUAAGCAUAAUGAAUACUUAGUAAGUUCAUACAAAAUUCAACUUAACUUGCCUAAAAUUAUGUCAAUUUAAUCAAUAAAAAUACAAAGAUGCUUAUCAUGAUAUUUUUUUUGACAUCCUUAGGCACUCUUGUACAAGUUCACAAAACAACCUCAAGUUAGUACGUUGGAAUAAUAAAAUCAAGGUGCUCAAAUCUCAUACAUGUACCACCAAACCAUUUGCUCUAUACUAUUCUAACAUAUAUAUUUAUAAACAUAUCAACUAAAUUUAUAAUCGAUCUCACCAACUAUUUCCUUUCCGAUUUGUUACCAUUUUUGCUUGUAGAACUAUAAUAAACUAACUUUGUAAACAUAGAACCAUUUUGCUCACAUAAACUUUACAAUUCAAGUCUACUCACACACGCUGUAGGUCAGGAUUGUUGAUAUAAGUGUUAUCUGAUGCUGCUCUCACAAGUUGUAAAGAAUCUGCAACAUAUGCUGGAUUUCAACCAUUGAUAACUAAGUCCCUGACCAGCACCAAAACUAUAUCAUUUGGGUCUACUUGCAUAAGAUGUAGGUCGGAAUUAUUCAUAUAAGUGUUAUUUGGUACUGCUCACACAAGCUAUAGAGUAUCCACAACAUACAUUGGAUCUCAACCAUCGAUAACUAAGUCCCUGAUCGUAAUGGUUUGUCAUCCCUACCUUAGUCAUUUACUAAAUACGUCAGAGCCUUAUUCUAUACUCGUACCAUUUUACUAUAUGUAACAUCAUCAUAUAUACAAUUUCAUAUCAUUCAAUCAUAUGUAUAUAUUUCACAUUUGUUCGAUAACCCGUACUUAUUAAAAAUUGUCUUAUAUUUCAAACAUUGCAAUUUAGUCUAAGUCAAAAGUAACUAUAAUUAAUUCCAACUCAAUAUACAAACAAUAUUAUAUAUAUUAUGUAAAAAAGGGAAAUCAACAUAAUAAGUUCCAUAUGAACUUACCUGACUAAAAUAACAACGAACGAGAUGUCGAGGACUAAUCGUAAUUUUGUUUUUUCCUCAAAUAUCCUUUGACUAGUUUAAUUUUUGAUCUAUAUAAUCAUUCAUUUUAAUUUAUCAAUGUCAAACAUUUAAAUGAAAAUCCAUGAUAUGCAUGAACCUAUUUAAUUUCAUUUUUACAAAACUCCUAAAAUUUUACACUUUAUUCAAUUUAGUCCCUGAAAUCAAAAUUAUCAUAACUUACACAUUUGAGCUUCAUUUUACAAUUUGAUUUCAAUUACGACCUUAUACUACUCUCCACUCUCUAUUUUUAUCAAAAUCUCAUGGUAGUUUUGUAACUUAUUCAGUUUAGCCUUAUGUUAAAAAAUUAACACUUAAACUUUACAAACUAGUCAUUUUUUUCAUUUCUAAGCUUAAAAACUAAUAUUUUAACACCAAAACUUCAAGAAUUCAUUAAUGGAAACAUUUUGAAACUUUAAAAGUUUUGAAAAAUAAAACAUGGAUUAGCUAAAUUGAGCUAUCACGAUCUCAAAAACACAAAAUUUAUGAAAAAUGACUUCAAACGACUUACCAUGAGAGGAUGAGAAGCUUGGCCGAAUGAUGAAGCUUCCAAAAAUGGUUUAUCGGGUGUGUUUGUUUGAAAUUUCAGUGGAAGUAAAUUAAAGGUGGGUUUGGAUAGGCGGUACGUUUACCUGUGGUUAGUGUAAACAGCGGUGGCAGUGAUAUUAGAUAGUGUAGCGAUGCUGUAGUGUGAGACAAAAAGUAAACUAAACGCACUGAACUACACCUAAUCGCCCAUCCAAACCCAUCCUGAAUGGAUGAUGAUGCAAUUUUUGUUUUUAUUUUUAUUUUUAUUAUUAACAUAUAAUAAUAGUUUAAUUAAUAUUUUAACCCAUAAUUCUCUUAAUAAAAAGCAGUUAACCUUCCACCGCUUUUAAAAAUGCUCUAACUGCCAUUGAAACUUUAGUUUAAUUGCUAAAUAGGUUUUUUAAUAAAUAAAAAUCUAUAACAAUUAACUUUUACCACUUUUACAAUUUAAUUCUUGUAUCUUAAUUAACUAUUCGUUCAAUAAAAUUACUAGACCGAAAUUUAAUAUAGUAUUAUAAUAUACUCACAAAUAUUAAAUAAUAAUAUUUACAAACUCGAUCAUUAAAAAAUAGGAUUCCAAAAUCACCGUUUCUGGUACCACUAAAAAAAUGGGCUAUUACAAUUAAAUUCAAGAUAGGUGGCAGAAUAGAAUUGUGAUGUGGCAUUAAUGAUGACAUAAUUUAAAAAAUAUAUUAAAAAUCUAAAAAAAAUUAAAAACCAUAACUUUUAUCGACACUUGAAUACAUAUAUUGGAUUCCAACUUAAUUAGCAAACAAAGAUAUGUCAAAAUUCACCCUUCCAACUCUUCCAAACAACCACAACUCAAUAAAGUUAAAUUACUACAUAAAGUAACUAGGUGAACUACAACACCAUGAACACCAUAAGCCAAGUUUCCAAGUUCUUAUCAUGACGUAGAUCAUUCAUUUACUAACUUUUAGUACCUAUAUCUCAAAUAUAUACAAAUCUCAUAAAUAAAUAAAAAACUCAUAUAUUAAAAAACAACUAACAAUCUGAAAUGUAAUAAACUUCAUAAUCAAAAUCAUGGAUUUCAGUCAUAGUUAAUCAUAAACACGAAAUUACUGUUUACUCAUAUCAUGAAAAAUCCCCAUUUGAGGAUACAUACAGAUAUUUGGAAAAAAAAAAAAAAAACCUCACCAUUUAGGUGCCUCUCGACUUGAGUCAUAUCUUUAAAAAAUUUAGAUACGAAAAUUUCAUAAAAAAAAAUCUUAAAAUCUAUAGAGGAAGUAACCUUCGACAUUGAGGAGGACUGCAAUUUCGAGAGCUACCGCUACGAGAAAGAGAGGAAGAAGAGAAAGAUCUGGAGCAAGAAUGAGAGCUAGACGAGGAAGCAAAUCUAGAGUAGGACACGGAGUGAGAGCGAGAAUUGGACUUAGAGUUUGAACCGGAAUAAGAGUAGGAACAAGACCUAGACCGUAAACAAGAACAGGAAGAGGAACCGGAGUUGGAGACAAAACGAGAACGACGACCUCUCAGCUAGAUUCAUAUCUUUAAAAAAUUAAGAUAUGAAAAUUUCAUUAAAAAAUCUUAAAAUCUACAGAGGAAGUAACCUUUGAUGUUAAGGAUUACGAUUUCGAGAGUUACCGCUACUAGAAGGAGAGGAAGAGGAGAAAGAUCUGGAGCGAGAACGAGAGCUAGACGGGGAAGUAGAUCUGGAGCGGGACACAAAGCGAGAGCGAGAAUUGGAUUUGGAUUUGGAGUCUGAAUCGAAAUAAGAGCGAGAGCUAGACCUAGACUGUGAACAAGAACAGGAAAAGGAACCAGAGUUGGAGACAAAACGAGAACGACGAUCUCUUGUUGGCUUUACGAUUUGCAGAAUACAAAGAGAGGAAUAGUAGAGAUAAGAAACCAUUUUUUUUUAUAUUUUUAUCUUUUGAAAAUGUUUUUAUUGAUUUUUAAUAUUUUUUAGAUUAUGACAUCAUCGUGAUGUUUGAAGGGCG
rnacentral:lncRNA from 1 species